GAAGCUCAGUGGUAGAGCAUCUCCUUUGUAAAAAGAAGGUCUCUGGUUCAAUCCUGGACAUCUCCA